rnacentral:rRNA from 1 species
UGUACCUACGGGAGGCAGCAGUGGGGGAUAUUGGGCAAUGGGCGCAAGCCUGAUCCAGCAACGCCGCGUGAAGGAAGAAGGCUUUCGGGUUGUAAAGUUCUUUAAUUGGGGACGAAAAAAAUGACGGUACCCAAGGAAUAAGCCCCGGCUAACUACGUGCCAGCAGCCGCGGUAAUACGUAGGGGGCAAGCGUUGUUCGGAAUGACUGGGCGUAAAGGGUGUGUAGGCGGUUUAGCAAGUUAGAAGUGAAAUACCUAGAGCUUAACUCUGGUGCUGCUUCUAAAACUGCUAGACUUGAGUGCAGU